CGCCUCUUGUCCAAAAAUAAGAGGUCCAGCCUGCCCAGUGACACAUGUUCAACGGCCGCGGUAUCCUAACCGUGCGAAGGUAGCGUAAUCACUUGUUCUUUAAAUGAGGACUAGUAUGAAUGGCAUCACGAGGGCUAUACUGUCUCCUUUUUCUAAUCAGUGAAACUAAUCUCCCCGUGAAGAAGCGGGGGUAAAACUAUAAGACGAGAAGACCCUAUGGAGCUUUAAAUUCUAACUCAAAUGCCUUCCACUCUUCUAACUUCCUAGUAUUACACACUAUUCUGGCAUAAUGAGGUAAAAUUUUAGGUUGGGGUGACCGCGGAGUACAAAAUAACCUCCACAUUGAAACAGGCCUAUAAGCUUCAAGAAAUGAAUUACAAUUCUAUUCAUUAAAAGAUUAACAUUUAUUGACCCAAAUUUUUGAUCAACGAACCAAGUUACCCUAGGGAUAACAGCGCAAUCCCCUUCAAGAGUCCCUAUCGCCAAGGGGGUUUACGACCUCGAUGUUGGAUCAGGGUAUCCCAGUGGUGCAGCCGCUACUAAUGGUUCGUUUGUUCAACGAUUAAAACCCUA
rnacentral:rRNA from 1 species